UACGUAGGGGGCAAGCGUUGUCCGGAUUUAUUGGGCGUAAAGAGCGUGUAGGCGGUUUUACAAGUCCGCUGUGAAAACUCGAGGCUCAACCUCGAGCUGUCGGUGGAAAACUGUAAGGCUAGAGUCCGGAAGAGGAGAGUGGAAUUCCCGGUGUAGCGGUGAAAUGCGCAGAUAUCAGGAAGAACACCGAUGGCGAAGGCAGUUCUCUGGGACGGUACUGACGCUGGAGACGCGAAAGCGUGGGGAGCGAACAGG
rnacentral:rRNA from 1 species